rnacentral:rRNA from 1 species
AAUGAACGCUGGCGGCGUGCCUAACACAUGCAAGUCGAAUGUGCCGCAAGGUGCAUGGCAGACGGGUGAGUAACGCGUGGGCAAUCUACCUUUUCGUGGGGAAUAACGAUCCGAAAGGAUUGGUAAUACCGCAUGAGACCAAUGGCUGGGAUGCUGUUGGUGAAACCUGGGGACCGCAAGGCCUGGGGCGAGAAGAGGAGCCUGCGUCUGAUUAGCUAGNGGCGGGGUACGGCCCACCAAGGCUUCGAUCAGUAGCCGGCCUGAGAGGGUGGAUCGGCCGACACUGGAAC